UAAUCAUGUUGGCCUUUUGGCUAAGAUCAAGUGUAGUAUCUGUUCUUAUCAGUUAAUCAUGUCUAAAAAAUUUUUUCACAGCAACGUCU
rnacentral:snRNA from 1 species